CACGUACUACACAUCGCGUAUAUAUAUAUAUAUAUAUAUGUGUGUGUGCGCGCGCGAGGCGUUGUGAAUAGCCGGAUAGACAAUUGACUCUUUGUCGAGUCGCACCAUCAGUCCAGCCGGCCCAACUUGAUGACACUUUACGAUCAAAAGGGAAAGGGACAAAGGGCCGAAGAUUACCGGGCAUCCGGUGCAACAGAAUCGAAAGAGUAAAUAAAGAGCAAAGUGUACGCGUGGAAGAAAAUUCGAGCGGGCCGACGAGACAAAUUUUGCCAGAAUUUAGAAGACUGAUGAUUUUUCAUUGAAGAAUAAAUCAAGAGAAAGGUCAAAAGAUGCCAUCAAGAUGAUAAAAUUUUAAUAGAGAUUAUUGAAUAUAA